rnacentral:rRNA from 1 species
UACGGGGGGGGCAAGCGUUGUUCGGAAUUACUGGGCGUAAAGGGCUCGUAGGUGGCCAACUAAGUCAGACGUGAAAUCCCUCGGCUUAACCGGGGGACUGCGUCUGAUACUGGAUGGCUUGAGUUCGGGAGAGGGAUGCGGAAUUCCAGGUGUAGCGGUGAAAUGCGUAGAGAUCCGGAGGAACACCAGCGGCGAAGGCGGCGUCCUGGACUGGUACUGACGCUCAGGAGCGAAAGCGUGGGGAGCAAACAGG